rnacentral:misc_RNA from 1 species
UCAAACCCUGUACACAAUAGGAUUAUGAUUUUGUAAUUUUCCCUAGCUUUAUUUCUAUUAUUCAAGCAAGCCAGCAGCUGGUUUUCAUUACUUGCAUUUCUGGUUUACCACCACUAUUAUCAUUAUCAUCGACAUCAUCUAACCAUCUCUUCAUAUUAUUUUAUGUGUUUUCUUGAUGUUUUAGAAAUCUCUUUCUUCCCUUUUUGCGACAUCAUGCCAGAGUGGUGUGUGUUCAUUAUGUAUGCAUGAAAAAAGUUAUAUAGAUCAUGUGUUCAGUCAAUGACUGUCAACAGUUUAUUAUUGUAUUGUAUAUUUAUCCAAUCAUAUUGCAAUUAUACUCAAUUUUUGUCCAGAAAGUAUGUCGCAUAAGAAUAAUAUAUUCCAGUGAAAAGAACAUUGGCACAGAAAUAGAUCUUCAAAAUGCAAGCCAUCAACCUCAUUUUGUGAAUGCUUGUACACUAUUAAUAAGUUAAACAAUAUUUUAUCAUUUUAAAUACAUAACAAAACCAUUUCUUUUUUAUUUAUUUAUGAAAGGUGUUUUCUUUGAAAUAUUUUAUGACAUAGUAAAACUGAAUAUGGAUUUUAUUCCAACAAAACCAAUUUUAUUUGUGUGUAUCAAACUAUGUAUAUGCAUAUACUGUUGUUGAUAUAUUAAAGUACUGUACACACCACCAGUUUUACAUAUGAUUUUCUUUGUAAUCUCCGAUACAUAAUGAAUUUGGUUUUACAACUGACAUUUUUUCCUCCUUUAUUUACAAAUUUAACAGGAAUUGGAGUUUAAAACCAUUGAGUUUUGAUAUUCAUGUAUAUAUUUAGCACAGGGAAAAGUGAAAACAGGAAAUUUCCUAGAGAAUUCAACAAUGCUUUUUACCCAUACACAUCAUGAUAAACAUGUGGCUAUUACGUGUUUGAGAAUAUUGUAAUCUUCCCUUUCAACUUGUGCUAUGUACCAGUAAACAUGUUGCUGUAUAUCUUCUGUCCUCAGAAGAGCAUGUUUAAUAUUGAAUUACUGUAUUGUCAUGAAAGUAAAAAAAAUAAAAUAAACAAGAAAAAAAU